rnacentral:rRNA from 1 species
UACCUACGGGGGGCAGCAGUGAGGAAUAUUGGUCAAUGGGCGCAGGCCUGAACCAGCCAAGUAGCGUGAAGGAUGACUGCCCUAUGGGUUGUAAACUUCUUUUAUAUGGGAAUAAAGUUUUCCACGUGUGGAAUUUUGUAUGUACCAUAUGAAUAAGGAUCGGCUAACUCCGUGCCAGCAGCCGCGGUAAUACGGAGGAUCCGAGGGUUAUCCGGAUUUAUUGGGUUUAAAGGGAGGGUAGGUGGAAAGUUAAGUUAGUUGUGAAAGUUUGGGGAUUAACCGUAAAAUUGCAGUUGAUAUUGGGU